rnacentral:rRNA from 1 species
UACGUAGGUGGCAAGCGUUAUCCGGAUUUAUUGGGCGUAAAGGGAACGCAGGCGGUCUUUUAAGUCUAAUGUGAAAGCCUUCGGCUUAACCGGAGUAGUGCAUUGGAAACUGGGAGACUUGAGUGCAGAAGAGGAGAGUGGAACUCCAUGUGUAGCGGUGAAAUGCGUAGAUAUAUGGAAGAACACCAGUGGCGAAAGCGGCUCUCUGGUCUGUAACUGACGCUGAGGUUUGAAAGCGUGGGUAGCAAACAGG